GAGGCCUUAGCUUAAGGUUUAAAGUGGUUGAGUUGCAUUCAGCAGAUGUGUUUUGUGCACAGGCCUU
rnacentral:tRNA from 1 species